rnacentral:lncRNA from 1 species
CACUAACGACAGAGCCAACAGUCGUCAUACCUGACAGGAGCAUCCCCUCGAGCCUAGAACUCCGGGAAAGUGGGCAAAAACAAACUACUGACUGAUGCUAAGAGACCAAAGGCUCAUCCGGGCAAAUGACAAGUCAAUUGCUCUUAGAAGGCGACGGAGGCGAUAGCCGAGACGCCACGAUACGGCGAUUGGAAGCUGAAGUGGCAGAGAUGCAACAAGUCUUGUUGGCCCAUAAGUUGAUACUGCUAGUCAUCAGGGCCACUGAACGUCUGUCCGAGGUGCGGCCUACUUGGAGCACAGACGCACCUCGGGGUGGAGAGAAACAAGCAAUAUCCUACUACACUGAGGCAGAGAGCCGAAGUGAUAGUAAGACGGUGGCAUCAGGAAAACGAAAGGUACCACCGAGCUGAGCUCCUUCCGGCAUGGAUUUUCGUAAAACUCUCAAUGACAAGCGAAGUCGGGAAGAUGGUGAUUUGCGAGCAAAGUUGCAUGCCAGAUGGUUUUGGCCGCAAAAGCCAUAAAAUCUAGCGAAAUCAAAGGUCUGCCAAGUCCUAACUUCUACAACAAUUCCAGAGGUAUUGACCCCGUUCGCGCCCGAGAUAUAGGGAAUGGUCCCUCUGAAAAAAUUCAAUCCCCCAAAGUUCACCUUUACAACGGGAAGUCAAACCCGAAGUCCCAUAUCAGCCAUUUUAGGCAAGUGAUGGCACUUUGGAACCAUCUUCACGCACUCAUGUGCAGGGUGGUUUGGGUGACCUCGGGCUGAAAUUGUUUGAUAAACUCCCCGUUGGUUCCAUAGGAAUCUUCUACCAACUUUCGAGUCAUUCGUGACACGGUUUGUGAUAAACACUAAGGCACUCCCCAAUCAACUGAAUCAAAAGCUUUCCUCAAGUCUACAUUUAGAAUGCAUCUAGGAGAAACUCUUUUACGACCAUACUGCCUGAGGAGCUCUUGCAGCAAGAAAAUGUUUUCUAUCAUGCUUCUGUUUUGGACAAAGGCAACUUGAGCAGGAUCAACUAUGCUGCGCAAGGCUGGGGCCAAUUUGGAAGCUAUAAUCUUGGAUAUGACCUUGUACAUCACAUUGCAGCAGGCUAUAGGCCUGAAAUCCUCAACUUUGUCUGCAACUUUGGAUUUUGGGAUUAAGGCUAGCACAUGAUGAUUAAUUUGCUUGAGCAUCUGCCCCGAAGCAAAGAAUUCCUUAACAGCUUCUAUGAAGUCCCUCCCAAUAACAUCCCAAGCUUUUUUAUAGAAGCACGAGGUAUAACCAUCCGGGCCAGGGGCUUUAUCUUCACCAAUACUGAAAAGGGUAGAUUUAUUUUCCUCAUCAGAAACUUCCCUCAGCAGAAGGGAAGCUUGCUCUGCCUUCAAGAGCUUGCCUUUUAAAACUGUUCCCCUGUUGAGAUUGGUGCAUUCUCCUUUGGAACCCAGGAGCCCCUUGUAAAACUGAACAAAGGCCUCGCUGACUUGUUUGCUUGAAGUGGUUCUGCUCCCUUCUUCCAGAGAAAUAGAUGCUAUAUGAUUUUUGGACCUGUUGCUCUUGAUUAAAUCAUGAAAAAAAAUUGAACCUUUAUCUGAGUUCUUCAAAUAUUUGGCUCUAGCAAGCUGGGAACAAUAACUUAACUCUGCUUCAGCUAACUUUAAGGCUUUAGCUCUUAGCUCCGGAACAACCACCUGCAAAUCAUGAUUCUUUGGGCUGCCAUGCAAUUGCUGCUGAGCUCUAAUGAGAUCCUCUUCUGAUGCCUCUGCCCUAGCUACUAUAUGAGAAAAAUACUGCUUGUUUAAGUCCUUCAGAGGAACUUUAACUGCUUUCAGCUUCCUGCAGAACUUAUACAUAGUUGUUCCUCUCAGAUGCAUUCUCCAAGUGUUGCCAAUUAUUUCUAGAAAUUUGUCAUGCUUAGCCCACAUAUUGAAGAAUUUGAAGGGGUGGCACCACGAUCCUCCUCAUCAAAAAGGGAGACAGUACACGGGGAAUGGUCAGAGAAUUUCCCAGGAAAAUCAAAUCUGCAGGGGGCAGCAGACCUUUCAUGGACCCAAUGAGGUUGGACAUUGCUCUAUCCAAAACUUGUUCUAGACAGUAUUGUUGGACCAUGUAAAAUAGACGCCUGAGGAUCUCAGAUCAGAGAUGCCCGUAUCAUAGCAACAGUUCUUGAAGUCCCUCAUCUCAUAAAGGGUAACUGGAAGCCCAUUGGCUUUUUCCUCAAUACUUAGAACAUUAUUGAAGUCCCCCAACAGCAUCCAAGGCAUCCUAGAAUAGGAAUUAAACCUGCGACUGUUAUCCCAUCGGGGUCUUCUCCCCACCAUAGUAUUGAAAGCUUAAAUGAAACUUAAAUGAAUUUUUUUAGAUGAAAUCUUACAAGUGACCAGGCAGUGCAUAACCUGCUCCGUCUUCUCUAUAACCUCCAGGAGGACCCUGUCCUCCCUCCAGAAUACUAGGAUUCUGCCAUUCGGAUUGAGCUAGAAAUUAUUGUCUACCUUCAUGCUUUGAAAUUUUCCUAGACAAUUUCAUCAAGGUAAGCUGAGAGAGUUUAGAUUCCAAUCCAAUGAUGCUCACCGUAUUCUUCCUCCUAUACUUCAAAAUUCCAUUUCUGUUUGCGGGGUUUGUGAGGCCCCUUAUAUUCCAGAAUGCAAUGAUCAUGCUUGAUUAGGUUGGGGAGUCACCCUCCAUUGCCUGCCCACAAAAAUCAGCAAAGUCUACUGAUUUCCCAUACUUCUCCUGAUUCUUUUUGCCUCUCCUUUUCUUUCCUCCUCACCCAUAGCACUGAGGGGGUAGGAGUUUUAAAAAUGGAAUCUUUGUUUUUUUUGUUUUUUUGUUUAUGAGCCCUAGGAAUUGAGUUUCCAGAUAAAUGAAAAAGAGAACAUUUAAAGGCCAAGUGUAGAGAGAAAAGCUCUCAAGCUUUCUCAUGGGGACUCACUUGCUUUGUUCUCUGAUGAGAUUCUUGAUUUGUUCUUUGAUUUUCUUUCCUAUCAUGGAUCAAUCUCUAUUCCAACAGCUUGGUGUAUUAGGGUUAGAAUUGGUUUUUGAGCUGGUGGGGCCAGCCAGGAUCUGAAAUAUUCUGUAGAGAUAGUGAUUGACUCGUGAUCCCAGAAUCUGGAACUAGGAUUUGGAAGUUGCUGCUCGAGGAUUCAAGCUGGGCUUUGAGUGCAGUUGCAUCAAAGGCUGUGUUCUUGUGUUUUUGGUUGAAGAUUGCUGUGCUGGUGGAGCACAAUUGAGUUUUCGGGGUUCUGGUUGAAGAUUAUUGUGCCGGGUUGUGAGUAGCAGAGUUCUUGAGGUACUGAUUGAAGGUGCUGUGCUAAUUGUAAGAUCUAUUGUUCACGUUAUAGUAACUUUAUUCAAAAUUUCAAAUCUACGGGUGGGUCCAAGGCAACAUAAUUUAGCUCAAUUACAAAAUGACAAGGGUGAAAACUAAGAAAAAGAAGGGAGACCAAUCCUCUGUGGACCCAAUCCUUGUGACUGCAUUGGCUAGGCCAGCAAGUAGCUCCCAAAGUGGGAAUGAAGGCAAGGUUUGGUCUACCUUCAAGAAGCAAAAAGUUUGGACAAUCCACAUGCAGAUGAGGAGGAGAAGUGGGCAAACCAACUACAGGAUGACGAGAAGAAGUGCGCCAGAGUAAACACAUCUGGUUUCUCCUCCAAACUUGACUGAGGAGGAGUUGGAUCAGCCUAGCCAAAAAACACAACCCCCCCUUACUUGGAUUCCCCUCCAAGCUUGGUUGAGGACUUGAACGAGGCUCUGGGACAAACAAUUGAAGGAGGAGGGAUAGAGGAGGCUUCAGAAGCAGCAUCUCAAACCCAGGGAGAUGAAGACACAUAUAGCCUACCAGAUGAUCGAUAGAAGGCCCCAGAGAAAAAUGGGGUUGGUCAAGGUGCAUCAUCAGUUUCUGGGGUGGAAAGAAAAACUGGGGAAGUCACACAGAAGGAACAAAGAAAACCCUUUGUAAACCUAUUUCCCAAGAACAGAAUGCCAUCCAUAGUCAGCAAGCUGAAUUUCGUCAAGUUAGAUGAGGGGCCGAAGAUCAUAAUUCAGGAUGAAAGACAUUCAAGGGCUGAACAUCCCAUGGAAAAAAAGCCUAGUUGGGUAUUUUGGAGGAAAAUUUCCAAGAAAGCAAGCACUUAAUCAUAUUGUGAAAUCAUGGAAGGUUCAUGUCAAUGUCCAGCAUCAUGGAAGUGGAUGGAUCAUUUUCCAGUUUUCGGCUGAAUUUGUUUGCUGUUUUAGCUUCCAAAGUCUUCCCCACCACUGUGCUACCUGCUUUGUCUCUGCUUUCAUGCCUACUCGGCUGAGACCUGUCGCUUUUGUCUUCUUAAUAACCCAUCCGUUCAUUUGCCCCUUGUUCCUUCCCCUGGGUUCAACUCUGACUUUCUCCCUCCUCUGGCCCUGCUGCCCUAAUUCCUUCCCCUCUCCGGGUGGUCCAGCAGGCUUUGUGUUAGACUUCUUUGGUACUGGGGCUUUUAGAUGGGUUUUACACUUUCUUUGUGUGGCCCAUCAUCCUGCAUUGAGGGCAGAAUCUAGGAAGGUUUUCAUAGAAAAUAGCGCUCAUACCUACUCCACCCGGCCAGUUGAUAGAGAGGUCGCCGAAGGGUUAAGUCCUUGCUAGAUCUAUUUCCACUAAGCAUCUAGCAUAAGUCACUCUUCCCUUUUUAGUAGUUAGCUGAUCCAUUGGACUGUUGCCUAGCUUUGAGCAAAUUUUUUCAAACACACUUGGACCCCACAUAUCUAGUGGAACAGCUCAGCUGACCAUACAGGGAAAUGUGGAAAUGGCCUCAUUUUCAAUCCAAAGAUCUGGGCAAUGUUUUCAGCAAGAGGGGUCUUCCGUAGAUGGAAUAUAGGGACCGUUCCAGAACUUGCGUUAGGUCUUUCGUAGAUGAUAGGUCUUUCGUAGAUGAUAUAUAGACCCCUCUUGCUUGAAAACAUUUGCCCAGGAAGAUACUUUGGAUAUUUGAAAAUGAGGCCAUUUCCACUUUCGCUGUUUGGGGUCCAGCUGGUGAGGCAUGUUCCACUGAUAUGGGG